CCUCAAACCACCACCAAGAGACCCACAAACAAAGAAAAUCAACUACAUGAAUCCACCUUCGUAAUCUACAGAUGUUGUUAGAUUUAAGAAAUGAUUUAUUAUUUUGUUGUAGAUCCUCUCAAUUAUGAUAAUUAAAUCUAGCUAACUCCCAACUUAGUGGAAUGUUUUUUCUUUUUAUAUUGGUUGGAUUAUACCCUUUUCUCUGUUGUAAAGAUCGGAAAGUCCAUAACAUUGUAUGUUUUUGUCUUAGUUUUUCUUUUUAGAUGAAAGCAAUUUUACUUAAGUUGCA
rnacentral:lncRNA from 1 species